UUAAGAUACUAAGAGCAUACGGUGGAUGCCUUGGCGAUAUCUGCCGACGAAGGACGUGACAAGCUGCGAAAAGCUGCGGAGAGAUGCAAAUAAUCGGCGACCCGCAGACAUCCGAAUGGAGAAAUCCGGCUGUGAUGAUGCACAGCCAUCCAUGCCCAAGAGCAUGAGAAGGGAACCGGGCGAACUGAAACAUCUAAGUAGCCCGAGGAAAAGAAAUCAAACGAGAUACCCCAAGUAGCGGCGAGCGAACAGGGAAGAAGCCCAAACCGGUGAAGGAAACUUUACCGGGGUUGAGGACCAUCAGACCCGCGAAGAACUUUAGCCGAAACUGUUGGGAAACAGUGCCAAAGACAGUGAAAGCCUGGUAGGCGAAAAAGAGAAACGCGGAGAUGGCACCAGAGUACCGCGGGACACGAGAAAUCCCGUGGGAAACAGGGGGGACCACCCUCCAAGGCAAAACACAGAUAUCGACCGAUAGCGCAUAGUACCAUGAGGGAAAGGUGAAAAGCACCCCGGGAGGGGAAUGAAAGAGAACCUGAAACCGUAUGUUUACAAGCAGUCGGAGACCGCUUAAUAAUAAGGUCGACGGCGUGCCUAUUGAAGAAUGAACCGGCGAGUUACGAAGCCUGGCAAGGUUAAGCAGGAAAUGCGGAGCCGAAGCGAAAGCGAGUCUUAAGAGGGCGCAAGUCAGGAAGCGUAGACCCGAAACCACAGUGAUCUACCCAUGUCCAGGUUGAAACACAGGUAAAAAUGUGUGGAGGACCGAACCUAUAUCCGUUGAAAAGGGUUAGGAUGAGGUGUGGGUAGGGGUGAAAUUCCAAUCGAACGUGGAGAUAGCUGGUUCUCCCCGAAAUAGCUUUAGGGCUAGCCUCAGGGAAAAGAUUGCAGGCGGUAGAGCACUGAUCAGGAGAGGGACCUACCCGGUUACCAAACCCAGUCAAACUCCGAAUGGCUGCAAUCAUACCUGGGAGUCAGACUGCGACUAAUAAGGGCCGUAGUCAAAAGGGAAACAGCCCAGACCAUCAGCUAAGGUCCCCAAUGCCGUGCUAAGUGGCGAAGGAUGUGGCAUUUCAUAAACAACCAGGAUGUUGGCUCAGAAGCAGCCACCAUUUAAAGAGUGCGUAAUAGCUCACUGGUCGAGAGACGCUGCGCCGAAAAUGUCCGGGGCUCAAGCACGGAACCGAAGCUAUGGCAUGAUAGCAAUAUCAUGGGUAGGGGAGCGUUCUUAUAAGGAAGAAGCAUGACCGGAAGGACAUGUGGACGAAUAAGAAGUGAGAAUGCCGGUAUGAGUAUCGAAAAGAAAGGUGAGAAUCCUUUCCACCGAAAGCCCGAGGGUUCCUGAGCAACGAUCGUCGACUCAGGGUAAGUCGGGACCUAAGCCGAGGCGGAAAGCGUAGGCGAUGGACAACAGGUUGAAAUUCCUGUACCGGAUCAAGUCGAUUGAGCGAAGGAGCGACGCAGGAGGGCACAUGAUCGCGCGGCUGGAAGAGCGCGUCCAAGUGCGUAUGUUGCCGCAGAGGAAAACCCCUGCGGCUAAAAGCAGAGACAUGAUGGGGAGUUAAAGGAAACUUUGACGAACUCAUGAAUCCCACACUGCCAAGAAAAACUUCUAGCGAGACAAGAUCCGCCCGUACCGUAAACCGACACAGGUAGGCGGGGAGAGAAUCCUAAGGUGCGCGGGAAAACCCUCGUUAAGGAACUCGGCAAAUUGCAUCCGUAACCUAGGGAGAAGGAUGGCCCCCGGUCAGUGAAGAGCAGAAACGCUCAGAGCUAAAAGGGGCGGCAGAAAAGAGGCCCAAGCAACUGUUUACCAAAAACACAGGUGCCUGCGAAAGCGAAAGCUGAAGUAUAGGUGCUGACGCCUGCCCGGUGCCGGAAGGUUAAGGAGAGAAGUUAGCGAAAGCGAAGCAUCGAACUGAAGCCCCGGUGAACGGCGGCCGUAACUAUAACGGUCCUAAGGUAGCGAAAUUCCUUGUCGGGUAAGUUCCGACCCGCAUGAAAGGCGUAAUGAUUUGGGCACUGUCUCAACGAGGGGCCCGGUGAAAUUGAAAUACCUGUGAAGAUGCAGGUUACCCGCGACUGGACAGAAAGACCCCAUGGAGCUUCACUGCAGCUUGAGAUUGAAUCCCGGUGACAGAUGCACAGGAUAGGUGGGAGGCGCCGAAGCAUUGCCUUAGGGCGGUGCGGAGCCGAUGUUGGGAUACCACCCUUCUGUUGCUGAGAUUCUAACGCGAGGAGUAACGACCCUGCGGACCCUCUCAGGCAGGCGGUUUGACUGGGGCGGUCGCCUCCGAAAGAGUAA
rnacentral:rRNA from 1 species